AGUGAACGCUGGCGGUAGGCCUAACACAUGCAAGUCGAGCGGCAGCACAGUAAGAGCUUGCUCUUACGGGUGGCGAGUGGCGGACGGGUGAGGAAUACAUCGGAAUCUACUUUUUCGUGGGGGAUAACGUAGGGAAACUUACGCUAAUACCGCAUACGACCUACGGGUGAAAGCAGGGGAUCUUCGGACCUUGCGCGAUUGAAUGAGCCGAUGUCGGAUUAGCUAGUUGGGGGGUAAAGGCCCACCAAGGCGACGAUCCGUAGCUGGUCUGAGAGGAUGAUCAGCCACACUGGAACUGAGACACGGCCCAGACUCCUACGGGAGGCAGCAGUGGGGAAUAUUGGACAAUGGGCGCAAGCCUGAUCCAGCCAUACCGCGUGGGUGAAGAAGGCCUUCGGGUUGUAAAGCCCUUUUGUUGGGAAAGAAAAGCAGCAGGUUAAUACCCCGCUGUUCUGACGGUACCCAAAGAAUAAGCACCGGCUAACUUCGUG
rnacentral:rRNA from 1 species